CAAAAUAAAAAAAAUAAAAAAAAUCAUAUUGAACCAAAAUUAAAACAGUAAAGAACAGAAAGAAUCAUAAGGGAUUUCAGUUCGUUUCGGUUCUUAGCUAAACUCAGAAUCAAACCAAAACCGAUCACCCCUGCCGAGAAAAAGAAGAAGGGGAAACGGGGACCCCGCGGGGGAGGGGGGGAGAUGAGCUUCGCAGCAGGCCCAUCAAAUUCCUACCAACCCCCGGCCAAUUCACCCUGCUAAACUCAUCUAAAUUCAUUUCAUGCGUUGAAUCGAGCCUUUGAUACCUUUUUUCUUUCACCCAUAAUGGCGAAAUCAAGGAAGAAAACCCUCCGCGUUUGCUCGGUCAAUUUUCGAAUGAGAUAGGGAAACCAAGAUUUAUAUAGGAAGUUUGCGGUCUUCGAUAUGCUCGGCCAGCUCUACCUCCGCUCGCGUGGUGUCUGCCGUAGAGGGCACCGCUCCCUAGCUAACCAUAGCCAGCUUCAACUGGCUGAUUCAUCUCUGAACAGUGACAAGGUCUCCAAUUUUUUAUGUUUUGGAUGUUUAAACUUUUAAUUUUCUAUAAGGUAAGUUGUUUGCGCCAAAAUUUGCUCUCUUAGAUGGUGAAUUUAAUUAUGAAGUUUAGAUUUUUGCAUGCCCAUAUGAAAUAGAAAUAAUGAAUUGAACCAUUUUGCACGAACAAAUUAGUCAUGGAAGUUAAAUAAUAUACUUGGUGAAUGGUUUCAAUUAGAGCAUAAUUGAGGGCAAUUGUAAGCUUGCAAAUGCUGAAUACUUUGAGAAUGUCAUGUUAUGAAAAUCUGCUAGAUUAUGGUGUGCUUAACUAUUUCUCUGUGAUCUAUGCUCCCUUAGACCGUUAUUAAUUUAUUCUAUUUCAUGGAUUUUUUUUAAUUAUUUUUUAAAUGCUCGUCCUUCUGAGUUUUGAAACAGUUUCAUGGCCCAUUGAGUUCAUUUAUAGAAACGCUGCACCAAAAAAACAUGUUGUGAUUAUCAAAUUAAGUGAAAAGUUCAGCCCUGAUAUGUGUAAGAAUUGAUUUAUUUAUUAGGUGGCAGUGGAUGCCAAUGAAUUCUCUUCUUGUAAGCAAUGUGGUGCUGUUAAGAAAAUUGGAGAAUGCACAUAAUAUUUUAAAAACAUUUAACUUGAUAGUGUCUUCGUAUAUAGUGAUUUAAUUUAUUUAAAUUAAUUGUUUGUGAAAUCUGUGUUUUGUAGCAGGUCCUUAUGUCCAAUUAGUCAAUUUUUCUAGGAUAACUAUAUCAGUUUAGUUCCAGGUCAUCCUUCCUUAUUAGUGGAUGAUGGGUCUGAUAUUAUUUAUCUACACCUUUUGCUGCGUGAACAAAAUAAACACCUAAUAUUUUUAUUGUUUUUUAUCCGAUAUGUUUAAAUUUAGAAUUUUUAUGCUGCAGGGAUGAGUCAGAGUUUAUUCAUGAGAUUGUUAAAGACAUAAUUAGCAAGUUGGGAAGGUUUAGUGGUGACAUAGCCAAGGGUCUCGUUGGAAUGGAGUUAAGAUUAGAGAAAAUGAGAUUGUAUCUGGAUAUUGGGCAAUCUGAUAAGGUUAAAUUUAUAGGUGUUUGGGGCAUGGGAGGAAUAGGUAAAACAACUAUUGCCAGUGUUGUAUACAAGCAAAUGUAUUCUCAAUUUGAAGGUAGUAGCUUUCUUGCAGAUGUUAGAGAAGCUUCUAAAAGACAUAAUGGUUUAGUUUCUUUGCAAAACAAACUUUUAUCUGCAAUCUUGAAUAGGGAUUUAGAAGUACACGAUGUUCACAGGGGAACAAACGAGAUAAGAACGAGGCUAUGUCAUAAAAAGGUUUU
rnacentral:misc_RNA from 1 species